rnacentral:rRNA from 1 species
GUUAAUUGCGAUAACGAACGAGACUCUGUCCUGCUAAAUAGUUCCAACGUCUCUUUUGCGUUGGAAAUUCUUCUUAGAGGGACUGGCAGCGUCUAGCUGCACGAGAUUGAGCAAUAACAG